GGCCUGGUGGUCUAGUAGUAUGAUUCCUUCUUAGGGUCCCUGUAACAAGGUCAACAUUUGGAGGAGGUCCCGGGUUCAAUUCCCGGCCAGGCCC